rnacentral:rRNA from 1 species
UGGGACGGGGCGCAGCAGGCGCGACCACUUUACAAUGCUGGCAACAGCGAUAAGGGAACCUCGAGUGCCAGGUUACAAAUCUGGCUGUCGAGAUGCCUAAAAAGCAUUUCAUAGCAAGGGCCGGGCAAGACCGGUGCCAGCCGCCGCGGUAACACCGGCGGCUCGAGUGGUAACCGUUAUUAUUGGGUCUAAAGGGUCUGUAGCCGGCCGGAUAAGUCUCUUGAGAAAUCUGGCAGCUUAACUGUCAAGCUUUCAGGAGAUACUGUCUGGCUCGAGGCCGGGAGAGGUGAGAGGUACUUCAGGGGUAGGGGUGAAAUCUUGUAAUCCUUGAAGGACCACCAGUGGCGAAGGCGUCUCACCAGAACGGACCUGACGGCAAGGGACGAAAGCUAGGGGCACGAACCGGAUUAGAUACCCGGGUAGUCCUAGCCGUAAACGAUACUCGCUAGGUGUCGGCCACGGUGCGACCGUUGUCGGUGCCGUAGGGAAGCCGUGAAGCGAGCCACCUGGGAAGUACGGCCGCAAGGCUGAAACUUAAAGGAAUUGGCGGGGGAGCACCACAACGGGUGGAGCUUGCGGUUUAAUUGGAUUCAACGCCGGAAAUCUUACCGGGACCGACAGCAAUAUGAAGGCCAGGCUGAAGACUUUGCCGGAUUAGCUGAGAGGUGGUGCAUGGCCGUCGUCAGUUCGUACUGUGAAGCAUCCUGUUAAGUCAGGCAACGAGCGAGACCCACGCCCACAGUUGCCAGCGUACUCUCUGGAGUGACGGGUACACUGUGGGGACCGCCGCUGCUAAAGCGGAGGAAGGAAUGGGCAACGGUAGGUCAGUAUGCCCCGAAUAUCCCGGGCUACACGCGAGCUACAAUGGUUGGUACAAUGGGUAUCUACCCCGAAAGGGGACGGGAAUCUCCUAAAACCAAUCUUAGUUCGGAUUGAGGGCUGCAACUCACCCUCAUGAAGCUGGAAUCCGUAGUAAUCGCGUUUCAACAGAACGCGGUGAAUACGUCCCUGCUCCUUGCACGAAUUCGCCGA